rnacentral:lncRNA from 1 species
ACAGAAACAGCCAACUACAGAAUUAGGUUCUAACUCCAAGACCUUUUCACAAUCCUGAAAAGCACUAUUCCAGUUCUGUAAUUUGAUUUCUGCUUGAGCUCGAUUGUUAUAGGCAACUACAGUGGGAAGCGCUGAUAUGCUCCUAGAAAAGAAACAGUUACUGGCAACAAGCAAGCCUAAGGUAAACAUAAGAAUGUAGAGAAAUUCAGCUUCAGUUAUACAUAAAACAAUUAUAACCUGUCUAUGGGCUGAAUUGUAUCCCCCAACAUUCGUAUGUUGAAGUCCUAACCCCACAGUAUCUCAGAACAUGACUGUAUUUGGAGAUAGGGUCUUUAAAAAGCUAAUUAAGGUGAAAUGAAGUCAUGAGAGGGGGCCCAGAUCCCAUAAAAAUGGUUUCCUUAUAAGAAGAAGAUAUUUGGACAUACAUGUAUGGACAGACUGUGAAGUCACUGGGAGAAGACGGCCACCUACAAGCCAAGGAGAGAGGCCUUGAAAAAACCAACCCUGCUAGCACCUUGAUCUCAAACUUCCAGCCUCCAGAAGUGUGAGAAAAGAAAUUUCUCUCGUUUAAGCCGCUCAGUCUGUGGUACUUUGUUACGGCAACCUUAGCAAACAAAUACAGCCUAUAUUAUCAAAAAUAAUAAAAUACAAUUCUACAAGCAUACUAAAUCAAUAUUUAAACAGAUGCUUAAAUAUCCAGUUAAUAGCCUUAAAGUUAACUCAGGCUUUAGAGGCAUUAUGGGAAUUUAAAUACUGAUAGAUCUGGAAUCUGAGCUUUAGUUACUGGAAUAAAAAAUGAAGGUAGAAAAAGAUAAAUACCUAUAGAUCACUUUAAAAAAAACCGUUGAUGUAAGUUAACAUCAAAUAUCAAAUACCAAACACAUUUUUUGAAGCCAGGCAUGGUGGCUCACCCCUGUAAUCUCAGCACUUUGGGAGACCGAGGUGACAGCAUGGCUUGAGGCCAGAGGUUCGAGACCAGCCUGGGCAACAUCAUGAGAGCCUGUCUCUACAAAAAACACAAGAGAAAAUUAUCCAGGUAUGGUGACUCACACCUGUAGUCCCAGUAUUCUCAGGAGGCUGAGGUGGGAGGAUCCCUGGAGCCCAGGAGUUUGAGGCUGCAGCGAGCUAUGAUCACACCACUGCACUCUUGCCUGGAUAACAGAGUGAGACCCUGUCUCAAAAAAAAAAAAAAAAAAAAAAAGAAUCUGCCCAAGGUCAGAAAGUGGUAGUCUGAAUUCCCUUAACCAUCAUACUAUGCUGCUUUAAUUCUUCAACUAUAUGACUCCUCAAAAAAGAAGAAAAGAGCUUUGUAACCUGUAAUAGACAAGAGAAUCUCUGGUAUAAACCUACAAGAAAAGAAAGAACAGUUAUCAAGGCUGACAUCCACCUGCCUGAACAGGGGAGGCUGUACUGAAUGAAUGAUCCAUCAUAUAUCCUCUUUACCUCGUAUCUUCAUUUAAACAAUCUGAGAAAACUUCUUUAGAUACACCAACAACAUUGAAAAAAAUCUAUCUUAUUUCCAAAGGUGGAAAAAAGAUUGUACAGAGUUUAGUGCUAAGGUAGCAUUAGUGAUUCUAUAAGAACAGUUUAUCUGUAACAACAUUUUAAAAACUUAGUCUACUUUUCAUAGGCUGUUAAGAACUUCAGAAGUUCAUAUACAUAUUUAUUGAACAUCUACUAUGAACCAGGUACUUUGUUGGGCCUUGGGGAUACAAUGGUGUAAAAAUCCUUGACAAAUGGGUUCUGCUGUUACAAAUCUUACAUUCUAGUUAUUAUCAAAUCACACAAGCUUAAAUUAUACUUCUGACAAGUGCUACAAAGGAGAGGUAAGACUGCUAUAAGAGCCUAUAAAUUGGGAGGUGAGGUGGGUGGGGUGAGAUGGAGAUUUAACCUAGUUUGGAAGGUGAAGUAAGACUUCUCCAAAGAAGUAAGGUGAAGACUAAGAUCUGAAGGAUAAAUCAGAAUUAACUAGAUAAUGGAACGAGGGAAGAGCAUUUUUUUUCUUAAUUUCCUUUUCUCUUUUAAAGGCUAGUCAAGUGAAACAGUGGGAGUGGAGAAGGAACAAGGAAAUCUGUAACUGGUUGUGAUCAAUUAGUUGUAAACACCACUGUACUCAGACCAGCCAUGGGAAAAGCAUUUUUGAUGGUGCACCCAGCAUGUGCAAAGGCCCUGUGGUAGGAAGGAGCACCAAAGUACUAGAAGUA